GACGAACGCUGGCGGCGUGCUUAACACAUGCAAGUCGUACGGUAAGGCCCUUUCGGGGGUCCACGAGUGGCGAACGGGUGCGUAACACGUGAGUAACCUGCCCACAACUUUGGGAUAACGCUAGGAAACUGGUGCUAAUACUGGAUAUGUGCUCCUGCUGCAUGGUGGGGGUUGGAAAGCUCCGGCGGUUGUGGAUGGACUCGCGGCCUAUCAGCUUGUUGGUGGGGUAGUGGCGUACCAAGGCGGCGAGGGGUAGCCGGACUGAGAGGGUGACCGGCCACACUGGGACUGAGAUAAGGCCCAGACUCCUACGGGAGGCAGAAGUGGGGAAGAUUGCACAAUGGGCGCAAGCCGGAUGCAGCAACGCCGCGUGCGGGAUGACGGCCUUCGGGUUGGAAACCGAUUUCAGCAGGGACGAAGCUUUUUGUGACGGUACCUGCAGAAGAAGCACCGGCUAACUACGUG
rnacentral:rRNA from 1 species